UUACUAUUUGCGCAAGUUUUUAUUUAUAUAGCUAUGCGCUAGCUCGUGAUAAUUCAAGUAUGAAUGAUGAACCAACGA
rfam:Listeria welshimeri serovar 6b str. SLCC5334 complete genome